UGAUGGAUGUGGUACAGCUUAUGGAAGCUUUGUCCAUUGGGGUACAGGUCUGUGAAUCACCAGGUUUACACACUUCACAGCACUCACCAUAGCACAUACCCUCCCCAAUGUCUAGACGUGGGAUCUUGACCCAAGAUCUUUACCUGAGCUGAAAUCAAGAAUCAGUUGCUUAACCAACGGAGCCACCUUGGGACCCCAGAAAUACAUGUUUUUAAAAUGAAAUAAUGUCUCUGUGAGCUUUUAGAAACUUAUUUGAUCUAAUUCCAAACAGUACAUUUACAGAACUGUGAUAUUAAAAAAAUAAAAAUUCUUUGUUGUACAUUUGAGUUAUUGCCCUUGUAAUUAUUGCAUGUUUAAUGACUUAGGAAUCUGAUCCAUCAAUAAUUAUUUAUUAAUCAAUCUCUGUAUUAUUACACUUUAAUAUGUGUUGUGGGACAAAAACAAAAAAAGGAUGAUAAAUCAUGGAACUUUCUCAUAAUGACCAUCAUUCUUUAUGGGCAAAACAUAUGCAUCCUAAAAAUUAGAGAAUAAUCAAAUGCUAAACAGCCUUACUGAGAGUACAGAGAAUGGAGAUACCAGGCUGAAGUGCCUGAGAUUUUUAUGAAAAAGAUGAGAUUUGAGCUUAGCUUUGAAAAAAAAGGUUAAGGAUCCUUGAAAGUCAGGACAUAGAGAAACUAAUUUUUUAUGUGCUGGGCAUAAAGGUUCAUUAGUCUUGGUGAAAGCAAAUUAUGGGAAUAAUCC
rnacentral:lncRNA from 1 species